GUAUUCAAACUUCCAUCUCGUUUGUUGAGAAAAUGCACUCUCCAUCAGAAUGCUACAUCUUCAGCACUCCUGCUGAAUCUAUGUCACUCUGCAGCAAAGGAGACACUGGGAGCUGCACAGGGAGAACUGUUGUCUUAGAAGGGUAUUCCAGCAUGCCAGCACAUUGAAGAACAAGGUAUCAAGUGCAGGAAUCUCUGUCCUGUGCACAUGUGUGCCUCUGGAUUUGAGUGCAGCAGCUGGAGUGGGACCAGGGGUCUCAGGGACCUGCGUGUCUAUGGUGGCAGCAACUGGAGAGACCACAGAAUGUGUUCGUUAACGGUGUGCAGGAAGGCACACUCAGGCAGAUUUGGCACGCAGCAUGGGAGGAAGGAGCAGGAGGUGGAUCCAGUCAGCUCUAACGGGAAUCCAAAACAUAGUGUGAGAAGUUGCCAGCUGAGCAGGAAAUCUCACAGGCAAAAGAAGGAAACCCAUUUUUCUUCUUCAAAAUAGGCAUCCUGUUCCCCACAUGUUCCUAGAAGCAUUAUUGUGUCAAAUCUACUUCAGUAUGAAUAAAUCUUUUGCAAACAUGAGUGACCGGUACUGUAUAUAUGAGCAAUGCUUUUUACAUAAACAUAUUUUCUCACUUGUCUCUUCUGAAAAUGCCUUUCCUGGAUGCAGUCUGUGAUGUCUUUUGUCUUUUUCUUUUUUCAUAUUCUGAUCUACCAGCAUACCCAGAUUUGUUCUUCAUUAAUUGUAAAUGAUCUUGUGCUUGUCCUUAUUUGAACAGCAUCCAAUAUUUUUUUAGACCAUACCUCCACUGUUUUCAAAAAUAGUUUGGAUUCCAGCCUAUUCUCUAGCACUCUUGCUGCCUUACUAGUGUUCUGCAACAUGCCUGCCACUCUUAAUUUCUUGUUACCUGAAACUUAGAUAUUGAAAAAUAUUACUGAAAAGUAGAGCAUCAAACCAGAUUGCUGUGGAAACCUGCCAUUCUCAUUGACAACCACUGUCUGAAUGCAGCUUUCCUAUCAGCUUUGCACCCGUUCUUUCUGAAAACUCAACCCUGACUCCUAAGUUUGUUUAUGAAAUGUCAAGUGAAACGAUGUCAAAAGCCUUACUAACACCAAGAUAUUUGACAUCCACUGUUCUUCCCAUAUUCACAAUGCCUGCUACCCUGUCAUAAAAGCAAGUAAGAUUGGUCUGACACUACCUGACUUUGGCAGAUCCACGUGCACUCUUACUCAUCGCCUUGUCCUCUUGUAGGAUUUUACCAAACUGCCUGAUUAUUUAUGCCAGUACUUUUUUCUAGGAAUUGAAGUUCAGCUAUGGGUUUAUAAAUACCCAGAUCUUUUUCUUUUUUUUUCUUUUAACAGAUGGGGACCACAUUUUUGCCUCUCAUGUUACUGUUGAAAACUGCAAAGUCAUUACAUACAGUUUCUAUUUCAUCUUUACUGCCAUUAAGGAAAUAAACUAGCACCCAGAACAGUUACAUUUAAAACCUGAUGCAAAACUACUUCCCUGAUAACAGCGGAUGGUGGGAGAGGGAAGUUCAAAAACAGUAAAAGAUUUAUUCAAAGACAGACAUUACAGAAAUGAGACGAGUGUGGCAAAACUUUUGUUAUUUUCCUCAAAAUUACUAUCGAGAAAGAGUUUGUAGAAGAACAUUGUUUCAAAACAGGCGCCAGCAUUUAUGUGUACAUGAUGCAAUCAGUGCAGCUCUGAAAAUGCUAUCUAUAAAUGAAAAUGUUAACAGUGUCGGGAAAAGAUUAACAAAACCUAAAUAUUACUACUCAAAGACACAAAAUUUGACCAAUACAUCAGGGAGUACAAUAUAAAAAUAUUCUUAUGUUCAAAAUAAGAAAGAUAAGGUAAACGUGCAUGUUAUAGAUUAUUAAUCACAAAGUCCUGAGAAGAAGUCAUGAGAAAUAGAUAGGAAAUCAGACAUAAUCAUAUGGUUGUAGAGACUUAUAUCUUGCUUCACAGAGGUGAGGGGCGAUUGGUUAGGCUUAGUGUAGUACAACACAUAUCAAGUCGGUCAACAACUGCCGUAAUCACUAGAAAAUAGGCUGCUAGAGUACAGUACAGUACAGUACAGGUGAAAAUGUAGAAAAACAGAUAGUAGGAUCAAGAGCUUUCUGAAAUGUCUCUGUGGACUUAUGUCUCAAAACACUCUUUGCAAGUGAGAUAUUCUUUUAUUCAGAGAACUAACAACCAUAUAUAGUGAAGACUUUUAGAGCAGCUAAAAUCCACCUUUCAACUCCCAGCCCUAGGAUCCUUAUAUUUGGUGUUAACGAGUCACUGGAUAAAAUCCACAAAUAAGGCUAAGUAGGAAUUAGGAUCCAUGAUUCACUGUCCCUUUGAAAAAAUUCAAACUACUUUACCAACUAAUACUGUCUCUGGCUUGGUGAAUUUUAAAUUCACUUCUUUCCUUAUGGUAUUGCAAAGGAGAAAUCAUGUUUUAUCAAAGGCAUAGGACAGGACUGGACUUUGAAUUUUCUUUCUUGAGAGGAAAAGCUGAAUUUGCUGUUUCUUGGGGAGAUGAACUAACAACAGUCAUCUAUGAAAGGCUGACGCCAUAUAAAUAUUUUUUAUGGAAAGCACUGGCUGCAAUUGCAUCUACAUGUACUACUUGUGCUCAGGUCAUUCCCCUCAAGAAACCUGGGGCAUGAAACCCUGCUAUGUGGAUCUAUUUCUAAACAGGUUUAGGUGUGAGGUAAAUUGUUGUGCUGUGCAGAAAAGGGCAAUGCUGAGUAUUGAUGUGGGGAGCUCGGAGCUGAUGGCAGCUGAACAGAGGUUUUCUGGUUUGGAACUUGUGUUUAUUAUUGCAAUUACUUUUAAAAAGUCAGAUUGUAUGUAACUUUUAGUGGAGAAAUAUUUGCCCUUCACUUACUUUUUCCUAUGUAUAAACUGUUUAAGGUUGCCUGCAAUCAACAGAGUUCACCAGUCUUGAUGUAAGAUUUCUGUCGCACUAAUAAAUUAAUUUAGGCCAGCUGUCUUCGUGUGACUGUCUGUACCAGCAACUGGAGUGGGGCAGCUGCGUUGGGGGCCCAUAUGUCCGGGAGGGACUGGGAUGCAGGAGCAGCUACUGGGAAGACUGAGUAAAUGGAGCUGCUGGAGAGACUCACAUUGGACACACACAUAUAUAUAUAUGUUUCUCAGCACCGGACCUCUGUCCUGUCCAGAUAAAGAGGGGAGCAGAAUGAGGCUGUUGGUGCUCCCUGUGUUUGUGUGGGUGCUCUGCAUAUCUGUCUGAUCCUUGGUCGACCAUGUAUAUGUGUGUGUAUGUAUGUAUAUGUCGUAUAUAUAGGUGUUCCGUGUGUGUGCACCUGCUGGGAACACAUCUUCAGCCUCACCACUGUUUGGACCUGGGGACACAGAGUGGAUCUCAGGCUGUUGGAUCCAACAUGAUACAUUUUCCUCUAACAGUUCUCAAAGCUGAAAUUCCUCUUAAAAGCUGCCUGCAAAAAGAAGACAUAAGGAAAACAUUGUAAUGAAAUAAUGUUGCUUAUUGCUUGGUUUUUAAACUGUUUUUCUUUUUAAUAAGUCAAUUAAUUGUGGUUACAUUGCCCAGCUAACCAUGGUGUCCCCUAAGGCAAAGAAAAUAACUUAAUGUAGCUAAAAUAAUGGUGCCUCAACCCUGGAUUUGCAUUAACAGAGAGCUGUUAAAAUUUAUUUUGUUCCUUAUUUUUCUAGACCAGUAAUUUUUGGAACCGAAUAUUACUUGGCACCCAACAAAAACAUAUCAUCUGUUUCUUUCAAGCCCAUCUUAAAGACCUUCUGUGCCUUUGUAAUGCAAGGAGGGAGAGAAACAGUCCUUCAUUUAGCUUGUUUUUC